rnacentral:snoRNA from 1 species
AGCCUCCUGGUGCUUACUGUAAGCUGUGUGCUUACACUGACUAUAUAGAAAGAGGAGGGGAAGUAAACUGACCCCAUAUAUACCUCAGCCCAGGCCCUGUGUCUAGGCUGUAUUAUGAAUGGAAAGACAUGG